AGCAGUGAGCCUCGCCCAACUGUUAACGUUUUGAACGGUAGAAAUACAGGCUUGGUGUUUCAAAAUCACAGUACAAGCGGUUUCUAACUCAUACAGAAAUUCAACAUGAAGUGAAGGGCGAAACAUUUGUGCAACAUAGCUAAGCCCUUAUUGUUGUCUAGCUAAUAUUAGCCACGAUGCUAUCGCUAGCAUCACCGCUAACGCUAACUUUAGCCAAGUUGACUGACAAAAGAACCACUAGUUAACCAAUCAGUGGCUAGCUUUAAUCUUUAUACUGGAUAGGCUGGAACUGACAGUCUGGCUCGUUUGAAUGUGCAUGUAGGCUACCUGUAAGUUAUAAACCACAGGUUACACACACUAAACAAACUUUAUCUUUAUUAAUGAGUAAGCUUGAAUUAAACUUUUACACAUUACCUUUGAUCAUACGUUGCUGCUAAUAUUUAACAGUAGUGAGUCACUUGUGUAAUGCAGGCACUACAGGAUCGAUGCUUUAUCUUAGGUAUUCAUAUAUUAUAUCUGUUAAAGCAGAAUUUUGCCAUCUACUGUAUUUUUUUUUGUUUUGUUUGUAGGUCUGCUAGUUUGAACCCACUGUCAGUUUGUACAGUGGCACAGAAGACCCUAACAUAUUGGUUCCUCUCUUAGACAAAGAGAACAUCAAUCCAGCCCUGCGCUUUGGUUGGUAAGUAGAAAUAUUGGAACUGAAAUGGACAACAGACCACGUAACUUGACUGUGGAUAACUGUCUAGCAGACUUUUCAUUUUGUUUAGAAAAAUGCCAUUCACACAUGAUUGACACCAGCCGAUGCUUUAUUUUAUGUAUUGUGCUGUAAAGACUAUUGCAUGUUCUCAAGUCCUAAGAGGCAAUAAGAUAUUGAAGGGACACAAUUUUGCCUUGUUGACACCAAAGUCAGUACUGUCACACAACUAAGUUUCUUAAGCAACUUAAAUUCAUUUAUUUAAGACACUUUAACUUCUGGAAAAUUCAGAAUCUUCAAUGAGACUUUGAUAAUAAAUAAGGAAAUAAAUUGUCCACCCUGAAAAGGACUUGGGAUUUUAAUGAGCUGUGAGGUUGGUUUUCUGACGUGAACUGAAAAUCUCAUUAUUUCUCUCUCCUUCACCGUCCUUCCACUCCUCCCGACCUCCUCUUUCCUCCUUCCCUAACCGCAAACCAUCACUGUUGGUGAGUCUGUGGCGACUCUGCAGUAAGUUCACACACAUGAAUGAAAUGUUACCACAGUGUAAAUCCAGCAACAACUGGAAAUGCAGUAUUAAUAGUUGUCCUGCUGUCCAUCUCCUCUCCUCUAUCAAAGUGGCUCUCUGUCUUUGGAAGUUUGAAAACUUUGCUGACUGUGAACAAGUGUAAAAGUAAUACCACUGCACAUGUUGUAUUAAUUCUCCCUGAUUCACAGAUAAUUGUACAUAUACAUAUAUAUAAUAUUCAUCAUCUCUGGUGUACCAAAAACUUCUGUUUUGCCUUAGACAUAUAUAAUAUCCUCACAGGCUUGACAAAAAUAAAUGGAAUAGUUUUGAAACAUAAA